AAUCAACGCUGGCGGCGUGCCUAACACAUGCAAGUCGAACGCGAAAGCCCGCAAGGGUAAGUAGAGUGGCGCACGGGUGAGUAACACGUGGACAACCUGCCUUCGAGUGGGGAAUAACCUUCCGAAAGGAGGGCUAAUACCGCAUAACACCUCGGGACACAAGUCUUGGGGUUGAAAAGAGCAAUUUGCUCGAAGAGGGGUCCGCGCCUGAUUAGCUAGUUGGUGAGGUAACGGCUCACCAAGGCUUCGAUCAGUAGCCGCCUGAGAGGGAGCACGGCCACACUGGAACUGAGACACGGUCCAGACUCCUACGGGAGGCAGCAGUGGGGAAUUUUUGGCAAUGGGCGAAAGCCUGACCAAGCAACGCCGCGUGGGUGAUGAAGUAUCUUGGUACGU
rnacentral:rRNA from 1 species